GAGGGCAUAGAUGGAUUCACAGCUGGGACUGGUGGAUAAGUUGGCAUGGGCUGCUGUCCUGGGUAAGGUGCUGGUGGUUGUCCUGGUAAUCCCAUAGGCGGCUGACCAGGAGGCAGUGUGGGCUGGCCCAACGCAGGGCCACCUGGAAAUCCUGGUGCAUUUCCUCCAGAUGGAGGAUACCCCCCAUAAGAGGGCUGCUGUCCUGGUGGAGGCUGUCCAAAGCCACCUGCAGGUACUGGUGGAUAACCCCCAGGUGCUGAAGGAUAUAUGCCUUGUGGUACAUUUGACCCUCCAAAUGUCCCUGCCAUAUUGGAUGCCAUUCCAGCCAUGUAGCUUGGGUUGAACUGAUUGGCAUAGCCAGCCACAUUUUCUAGACCAAUUGGAGGUGGAUUUGAAGGUGGAUAAGCAGCACCACCCCAAGGACUGCCACCUGGGGCUGCUGGUGGAUAUCCACCUGCUGGGGGAUAACCCGGGUGACUCAUUACGAAGCCCGCGUUCCGCCGCCGCCCCGGUCGCGCUG
rnacentral:lncRNA from 1 species